rnacentral:rRNA from 1 species
AAGUCGUAACAAGGUUUCCGUAGGUGAACCUGCGGAAGGAUCAUUAUCGAGUUUUGAUGUGGGUUUGAUGCUGGCCUUUCGAGGCAUGUGCUCGCCCCGCUCAAUCCACUCUACACCUGUGAACCAUUGAGGUGCUGCCCUCCAAUUUGGAGCAGCUUCCCUUUUGACCUCCCUCUGGGAGGACGAGAGGUGAGGCCGGGGUGACACCUCUACUUACAAACACUUAAAGUAUAACAGAAUGUAACCGCCAGCAAUGGCAAAACAAAUACAACUUUCAACAACGGAUCUCUUGGCUCUCGCAUCGAUGAAGAACGCAGCGAAAUGCGAUAAGUAAUGUGAAUUGCAGAAUUCAGUGAAUCAUCGAAUCUUUGAACGCACCUUGCGCUCCUUGGUAUUCCGAGGAGCAUGCCUGUUUGAGUGUCAUGAAAUUCUCAACUUCACAAGCUUUUUGUGAGCAUGUGAAGCUUGNACUUGGGGGUUGNUGGCCUUUAUUGGUCGGCUCCUCUUGAAUGCAUUAGCUGGACUUUCUGAUCACAGAGCGGUUCACGGUGUGAUAAUUAUCUACGCCAUGGNAAGCCCGUCUCUGAGUUCUGGUCGAGCUCAUAAUCGUCCUCGGACACUUUUCAAAUCUGACCUCAAAUCAGGUAGGACUACCCGCUGAACUUAAGCAUAUCAAUAAGCGGAGGAAAAGAAACUAACAAGGAUUCCCCUAGUUACUGCGAGUGAAGCGGGAAAAGCUCAAAUUUAAANUCUGGCGGUUUUGCCGUNCGAGUUGUAAUCUGGAGAAGCGUUUUNCGCGUUGGACCGUGUACAAGUCUCUUGGAACAGAGCGUCAUAGAGGGUGAGAAUCCCGUCUUUGACACGGACUACCAAUGCUUUGUGAUACGCUCUCAAAGAGUCGAGUUGUUUGGGAAUGCAGCUCAAAAUGGGUGGUAAAUUCCAUCUAAAGCUAAAUAUUGGCGAGAGACCGAUAGCGAACAAGUACCGUGAGGGAAAGAUGAAAAGCACUUUGGAAAGAGAGUUAAACAGUACGUGAAAUUGUUGAAAGGGAAACGCUUGAAGUCAGUCGCGUUGUCCGGGACUCAGCCUUGCUUAUGCUUGGUGUACUUCCUGGUUGACGGGCCAACAUCGAUUUUGAUCGGCGGAUAAAGGUAGAGGGAAUGUGGCACCUUCGGGUGUGUUAUAGCCCUCUAUCGGAUGCGUCGGUUGGGAUCGAGGACCGCAGCACGCCUUUUUGGCCGGGGUUCGCCCACGUAACGUGCUUAGGAUGUUGGCAUAAUGGCUUUAAGCGACC